CCGCCAUUUUGUCCAGUGGGGGAGAAGCAAAAGAGACAGCGGAGUCGAGUCUUGGCGGGAAAGCAAGCGACUCCGACCGCGCUCACGGGGCUGCCGGACGAAGUAGAAGAGGCGAAGAAGGAAAAGACUGGAAGCCGCUCGCGGGAGUCUUUUACACUCCUGGUUAGGGAACCGAGAUGCAUCGCGAUUCGUGUCCACUGGACUGCAAGGUUUAUGUAGGAAACCUUGGGAAUAAUGGCAACAAAACUGAAUUGGAACGAGCUUUUGGCUACUAUGGACCGCUGCGGAGCGUCUGGGUUGCUCGAAAUCCCCCUGGUUUUGCUUUUGUUGAAUUUGAAGAUCCACGGGAUGCUGCCGAUGCAGUGAGAGAACUAGAUGGGAGAACAUUGUGUGGCUGUCGGGUCAGGGUGGAGCUGUCCAAUGGUGAAAAACGCAGUCGGAACCGUGGCCCACCUCCCUCAUGGGGUAGACGACCUCGAGAUGACUAUCGCAGGAGAAGUCCUCCACCUCGCCGCAGAUCUCCACGGAGGAGGAGUUUUUCCCGUAGUCGUAGCAGAACGAGUCCCCAACCCCUGGUCUGUGGACUGACACCUGGACACGGCAUGCCAGAAACUGGCCGUGUAAACAAGCAAAGCCCCUUUUGCGGGAUGCAGGCGAUGUGCAAAACCACGCCCCCUCUGAUCCAUGGAAAAACCUCUCCACAGAAUUGGUCCCUGGUGCUCAAAAGGUGGGGUGGGGGAUGCUGUUCUUAAACCUGAUUUUUGAUGCAGCUAACUUUAUGAUACUAUUUCCUUUACAGGUCCCUUUCUAGAGAUAGAAGGAGAGAGAGAUCACUCUCAAGGGAGAGAAAUCAUAAGCCUUCCCGUUCAUUUUCCAGAUCUCGUAGCCGUUCCAGGUCAAAUGACAGGAAAUAGAACUUCAGGAAGAAUGAUGUACAGGAAGUCACAUUUUGGUCUGAAGACAGUAUGUACAGAACAUUGUUUUGUUUAAGACCUCAUAAAGCUUGGUGCAUUUUAAAAAUGUUUUAGCUGUCAAAAUUUUGUGUUUUUUUUUUGUAACAGGUGACAUGUAACAGUUGUGAAAAUGUAUAUGGUUUUGAGCAGGUCAUUCAAAGUGUAAUAAAUCUGUUCUACAUUGUACCCUUAAGCAUAAACUAUUUUAAUGUUGGCCAGUUACCUUGCAGAGAUAAACAGAAUAAGAAACCUACAGAAUAAAGAAACCUUAUAGCAGCAAUUAUUCAUAGUCUGCUGGGUCAUCUUUUAGAAUCUGCAAAAGCUAAACUCAAAAAUAAAUUAACACAUAGACUUGUAAAUCAUGAAUAUUUUCUAUAAUUGUGAACGGACAAUCUCUGCAGUAUGAAAUGUGGAGGCUUAAUUGGCCAAAUAAACUAAUGGCAAACAAGACUGAAAACUUGUAGCUAGCCUUUUUUCUAAACCUGUCUUGACUUGUGAUUUAUGCCAAAAUUCCCAUUAUUGUGCAAAAUUCCAAUUAAAUAUUACACCUUUUUCUGUAGAGCACUACUAAAACAGAGCAGAUUAACUGUUGAUUUGGAUAAGUACAUAUGUAUAAGGGUACAUUGUAGAUAGAAAUUUUCCUCAUUGUGCAUAAGUUGUCUUGUCACUGUAAACUCUGAGAUUAAAGUUUUUGUUACAAAUCGUU